rnacentral:lncRNA from 1 species
UAUUUAUUUCUUAUCCCAACUUGCUCAUUUGGGCAUGGCCUGAAGAUCCCAUAUCUUUGUAAUUUCCGUGCUGUAUAUCUUUUAAAACUUUCCUAUAGAUUUUAUUCUUCAUAUUAAAUAUAUAAUUUUGCUUUGAUCUCUGCUGGAUAAUGGUAUUAUAUUCUGACACUUUAUAUUCAUUUGUUGUAUUAUAAUGUUUGUAAUUUAUUUUAAACAAUAUUUUAAAACAAGGGUUGGUAACUGGUGGCUUACAUAUAUGUUCUUGGCAUCCCAUAAAAGGUUGACCAUAGAUACAUAGCAUGUGGCCUGAAUGUUGAAGUAUAUGAAUAAUGCAUUUUAUAAUAUGAAAAAUAAAUUAAAAAUAAUUUUACAUUUAUACAUCAUGAUAUUGCCAUGCAACUUGGCACAAGUCAUCAAGAGUGGAAAUAACAAAGGUGACCUCAUACAUCAGGUUAUAAAGUGGAAACUAUGGAUAUAUAAUAUACCCGAAGUGGACACAGAUAAUAUGGCUAAGGAAUAACAUCCACAAAAGUCACAUUAAGCAAGGAGACAAACAUAUUAUGAUGCAUAAACUAUAUUAUUUUGUUUUUACAUGAUAAUUUUUCAUUCAGUUUCAUUUUCAUGUUUGCUUC